rnacentral:rRNA from 1 species
GUAGGGUGCGAGCGUUAAUCGGAAUUACUGGGCGUAAAGCGUGCGCAGGCGGCGGCUCAAGUCAGGUGUGAAAUCCCCGGGCUUAACCUGGGAAUUGCGCUUGAAACUAGGUCGCUAGAGUGUGGCAGAGGGGGGUGGAAUUCCACGUGUAGCAGUGAAAUGCGUAGAGAUGUGGAGGAACACCGAUGGCGAAGGCAGCCCCCUGGGUCAACACUGACGCUCAGGCACGAAAGCGUGGGGAGCAAACAGGAUUAGAUACCCUGGUAGUCCACGCCCUAAACGAUGCGAACUAGGUGUUGGGGAAGGGGACUUCCUUAGUACCGCAGCUAACGCGUGAAGUUCGCCGCCUGGGGAGUACGGUCGCAAGAUUA